rnacentral:snoRNA from 15 species
AGAUCGAUGUUGCCUCCCCCGUCAGCAUUCCUCAGGAAAGCUGAACAAGUGAGUGACAACUCCCUGCCGUCUUGUUCAUCACACUGAGGUGC